rnacentral:lncRNA from 1 species
GGAGUGUUUCUAGAGCUCGGAGGCUGCUGGUAGGGGGGCACCACUUUCAGAUAAAAACAUAGACCUGAAUGGCAUCAUCCAGUAUCCAAGGAAACCAUGCUUGCUUGAAGAGUGAGCAGGUGAGCAAAGAGACAAGAUUACAUGUUUAAACCAAGAAAAGAAUCUUGAAAUGUGUCUGUAACCAGCUAAUGAGCUGCAACAGAGCCUGGCCUUCAUUUUCAGCAAAUUAAGUUCAUCCCUCAUAGGAAUUGUGGUCUGGCUGUGGCACCGCUCCUAGAAGCAUUGAAAAGAACAACUUUCAAGUCAAAAGAAUCAAGGUGAAGAGAAUGGAUACUCAUGCCCAUGUGAAUUUGCUGCCCCAAGUCUACUGGAGGAUCAAGCUGCAGGUUUCAAUAGCUAUAGCCUGAAGAAUCUCUGUAAUGAACUAAAACAAUCAGUAAAAGAUCAGUUGCAGUGGAAGACAUUAUACUCUAGAUUUUUCUAGUAUUAUUAAAUUUGAAAAUGAUUUAUUCCAAAUUUUAACUUAGCUUUUAAUUUUACUAGUGUCAAAAUGUUGUACUACUUUGGACAACUGAUUUUUCCAAUAGAGAGUCAAUAGCAUCUUUGCAGGGUGGUUUAAAAGCCAAUAAUUUAAUCCAUAUUCUACUAAAACUUUUAAUAUAAGCAUUUUACCCAGAUGUAUUUUUUCCUUGUUUUAGAAAAUCUGAUUUUAAUUGCUAAAACUCGUUUUUAAAUAUUAAUUCAAUGAAAGAAAUGCUAUGGUUUUCUACUUUUUCAUUUCUUAAACUCAAGGGAAAACAUGGGUGAAAAACAAAAAAUUGUUCUGCAUAGAGUCUUCUUUAAUGUCUCACUUUGGUGAUGUAUGAAAUAAAAACCAAAUUGUUUUAACCAGCUAAAAAUCUUAGGUUUGAAUUAUCCAGAA